rfam:Candidatus Moranbacteria bacterium RIFCSPHIGHO2_01_FTLL_54_31 rifcsphigho2_01_scaffold_20852, whole genome shotgun sequence.
CUUAUUGAGAGUUUGAUCCUGGCUCAGGAUGAACGCUGGCGGCGUGGAUAAGGCAUGCAAGUCGAGAGGGUUUAGACCCUCGGCAAACGGGUUCGGAUAACAUAGGAAUCUUCCCUAAAGUCGUGAAUAAUCCGAAGAAAUUCGGGAUAAUACACGAUGUGCUCUACGGAGUAAAGAUUUAUCGCUUUAGGAGGAGCCUGUGUCCUAUCAGCUUGUUGGUGAGGUAAUGGCUCACCAAGGCUAUGACGGGUAGGGGGUAUGAGAGUAUGGCCCCCAACAUUGGAACUGAGACACUGUCCAAACACCUACGGGUGGCUGCAGUCGAGAAUAUUCCACAAUGGACGAAAGUCUGAUGGAGCGACGCCGCGUGCGGGAUGAAGGUCUUCGGAUUGUAAACCGCUUUUUUCAGGGAGCAAUUUCGAUGAGAGUACCUGAAGAAUAAGAGGUUACUAACUCUGUGCCAGCAGUAGCGGUAAUACAGAGACCUCAAGCGUUAUCCGGAUUUAUUGGGCGUAAAGCGUAGGUAGGCGGGUAUGUUAGUCGGAUGUCAAAGCUCGGGGCUCAACCCCGAAAAGGCAUUCGAAACGGCAUGUCUAGAGGAUGUGAGAGAUCAGUGGAAUUUAUGGUGUAGUAGUGAAAUGCGUUGAUAUCAUAAAGAACACCCAAGGCGAAGGCAACUGAUUGGCA